GCGUUUCUCUCUAUAAGUAGCUAGUAAAACGAUUACUGACGGAAAUACAAUUUCGUUGUUAAUGGGUGCAACACCUUGGUGAGCAACUUUUUGUCGCGAUUUGUCCAGUUGAUGUUAUGGGGAGUGUUUUCAUUGCAUUGCCUAAUAUCUUUCUCUGGUAUGUAAGAUUUGGUUGUGUUGAGAUCCGUUGGCUCUAGGUCUCUGCUCCUAUGAUGUUCAGCGCCAUCAUGAGCAUGGGAAACCACGCAGGAACAUUUUGGAUUUGCCCCGAAAGUGUUCAUACUGUGAAGAUGACCUAAUUGUUGAAUUUAAUCUUUUUUGGAAAUGCUUUUAUUUAUGGGUUGGAACUGAUUGAGACUAAUUGUAAAGGCCAAUGCAUUAGAAAACUCACUCAUAACGGAGAAUUGGGUCUGAGUGGUUGGAGUUGUAUCAGUUUGUUGUAGCACCUCAAAGUUUUAGCUUUCCGCACACCCAGAGGUCGGUACAUAUCUUGUGAGAUCUGGAUUGGUUGGUGUAGUGUGUGGAGAGUAGUCAGUGUUCCGCCCUAGCUUUGUGACAGCUGCUUGUAAACUGACUUUUAGUUAGGCUUGUGGGGGUUUUUUCCUCGCUCUUCGCUGUUUCUGGGUGUUUGGUUUGUUGUGUUUUUUUGUGUUUUCUUGUAGCUUGCUCUUCGGUGCUUGGUUGUUGCAGGUGGAUGCUGGGUCCUGGUUGCUGCGCGGUCCCUCACAUAGAUCUCUUUAGGGCUGAGCAUCGGUUCAAAAUCGAACCGAACCGACCUAUUUGGCAGAAACCGAAAUCGAACCGACCUUGAAAGUUGGCAGACCGAACCGAACCGACAUUGCCUUAAAAACCGACCAGAACCAAACCGGCCAAAACCGAUCGAUUUCGGUCGGUUACC
rnacentral:lncRNA from 1 species